GGGUUGUGAGGUUAAGCGACUAAGCGUACACGGUGGAUGCCCUGGCAGUCAGAGGCGAUGAAGGGCGUGCUAAUCUGCGAUAAGCGCCGGUAAGGUGAUAUGAACCGUUAUAACCGGCGAUACCCGAAUGGGGAAACCCAGUGUGAUUCGUCACACUAUCAUUAACUGAAUCCAUAGGUUAAUGAGGCGAACCGGGGGAACUGAAACAUCUAAGUACCCCGAGGAAAAGAAAUCAACCGAGAUUCCCCCAGUAGCGGCGAGCGAACGGGGAGGAGCCCAGAGCCUGAAUCAGCAUGUGUGUUAGUGGAAGCGUCUGGAAAGGCGCGCGAUACAGGGUGACAGCCCCGUACACAAAAGCGCAUAUGCUGUGAGCUCGAUGAGUAGGGCGGGACACGUGGUAUCCUGUCUGAAUAUGGGGGGACCAUCCUCCAAGGCUAAAUACUCCUGACUGACCGAUAGUGAACCAGUACCGUGAGGGAAAGGCGAAAAGAACCCCGGCGAGGGGAGUGAAAAAGAACCUGAAACCGUGUACGUACAAGCAGUGGGAGCCCCACCACUAAGCCAGUGGUGAACUCCACAUACGCAUCCUUUGCUGAGGAGACGGUUAACGGAGCGAAAGCGACGUUCAACCUCAAAAGAAGCAGAGGGGGCUUAGUGGUGGGGUGACUGCGUACCUUUUGUAUAAUGGGUCAGCGACUUAUAUUCUGUAGCAAGGUUAACUGUAUAGGGGAGCCGGAGGGAAACCGAGUCUUAACCGGGCGUUAAGUUGCAGGGUAUAGACCCGAAACCCGGUGAUCUAGCCAUGGGCAGGUUGAAGGUUGGGUAACACUAACUGGAGGACCGAACCGACUAAUGUUGAAAAAUUAGCGGAUGACCUGUGGCUGGGGGUGAAAGGCCAAUCAAACCGGGAGAUAGCUGGUUCUCCCCGAAAGCUAUUUAGGUAGCGCCUCGUGAAUUCAUCUCCGGGGGUAGAGCACUGUUUCGGCUAGGGGGCCAUCCCGGCUUACCAACCCGAUGCAAACUGCGAAUACCGGAGAAUGUUAUCACGGGAGACACACGGCGGGUGCUAAUGUCCGUCGUGAAGAGGGAAACAACCCAGACCGCCAGCUAAGGUCCCAAAGUCAUGGUUAAGUGGGAAACGAUGUGGGAAGGCCCAGACAGCCAGGAUGUUGGCUUAGAAGCAGCCAUCAUUUAAAGAAAGCGUAAUAGCUCACUGGUCGAGUCGGCCUGCGCGGAAGAUGUAACGGGGCUAAACCAUGCACCGAAGCUGCGGCAGCGACACCGUGUGUUGUUGGGUAGGGGAGCGUUCUGUAAGC
rnacentral:rRNA from 1 species